ensembl:lncRNA
UCGCAAUGUAUCAGUUUGUUUGAACUGGAAACGGCUCUUUCUCCCUCACUUGGGUUUCCUCCCACCACCCUAUCACAUUUAUCUUCAUCCCCUCACUCUUCACAUCUUCCCUGUGUGCUUUUCUGUGUCUUCUUCUGCCUGUUUAAUGUUGUUCCAUCUCCUCUGUAUCAUUUAUCUUCCUCAAUUUCUCCUACUUUAAAAAACUUGCCUUGCCCUGUAGUUAUUUGAGAUUAAUGUACCUGUCCAUAUGUCAGGAUUUUCUACUAGGCUUGAGGAAGUGUAUAUAUUCCAGGAAACUAGAAAAUCUGUCCCAGCCAAUCAAAAAGUUAUCUCAAUUGGCUAUUCGCUCAUUCGUAUUUCACUUCCCUGGCAGUUUAAAGUAUCUUUUAGUUGAUGUAUUAUGAUUGUAGUGCACCAAAAGAGUUGAUGCUGUCGAAUUUAUUUAUUUAUUUUUUGGUUGUUCAGAUUUGGUCCCUUUCUGUGAGCUGCUCUGCAGAGUUGAAAGACCUUGCCUGUGGGGUCCGCGUUCAGAGUGGUGGAAAUGACCUCUUCUGAUUUUUUUUUUUUUUUUUUUUAAUCGACAGAAACCUUGCUGAUCUCACAGCUCCCCCUCUCUUCCCCUACUGGGCAGAUGAAGACCUUUAUCCCUCUAUCUCUCUGUGACACAGCAAGACUCUGUAUUUUCCUGCUUUGCUCUUCAUCCACCUCUCCUUUAUAUUCCUCAUAUAUUUUCUCACCUUUAACCUGCCACGACCGUUUAUCCUGCACACCAUUAUUCCUCCCGGGACCCCCAAAAAAUCAAAAUGUCACUGCAAAGACUCAUCCUGUGCUUUCCCAUUCAAAACACAUAAUUUACACACAUUAUGCUUUUUAGAUUUUUGCUUUGUUUGCAUAUAAAAUUUUGCAAAGUCCACCGAUAAAAGGAUUUAAUGUGUCCACCAAUAAAACCCUGCUGUUUUAGCCACCUGCAAUGCUUCAGUUCUAUACCUCACUAUAUAACACACUGCCAAGCAGCUAGCUGUCAAACAAAAACUUACUUCAGAUGAAACCAUCUGUAUCACAGCCAACUAUUAUUUCUUGUUCUAAACUCUAAAAUAUCUCAACUGUGCCUCAGCGAACCAUGCCAAAUCCUCCAACUGUUACAAGAUUAAAUAUGUGUUGAUGCACUUGCAGGAUUUGACAAAAAUGAAGAGCCCACAAUAGGUGAAUACCUGUCUGUUUAGUCUCUGUGCAAAACAAAGCUAAUAUAACACUAACACUACCAUCUUGUCUUCUUUGUGCUGCCACAUGUGCGACAGCUACAGUCGCCAUUAACACCUGUUGCUAGGGUAUACAAGGGUCAUGCUAAUAGAUGAGGACAUUAGAAAUUGACAAUGGUCAAAGUGAUUGGCGAAGGCUUGUCAGACAGGGUGAUUUUUAGCUAAUUUCCCUAUUGAGUUAUUA